rnacentral:rRNA from 1 species
AUACAGAGGGUGCGAGCGUUAAUCGGAAUUACAGGGCGUAAAGCGCGCGUAGGCGGUCUAUUAAGUCAGAUGUGAAAUCCCAGGGCUCAACCUUGGAACUGCAUCUGAUACUGGUAGACUAGAGUUUUGGAGAGGGAAGUAGAAUUUCAGGUGUAGCGGUGAAAUGCAUAGAGAUCUGAAGGAAUACCAGUGGCGAAGGCGACUUCCUGGCCAAAAACUGACGCUGAGGUGCGAAAGCGUGGGUAGCAAACGGGAUUAGAAACCCUAGUAGUCC